rnacentral:lncRNA from 1 species
UGAAUGACAAACUUUAGUGGCUCUGGAGAGACACAUUUGUUAUUUUUAAUCUUGCAAUAUGUUGGUGGCCAUGUCUGAGAUAGCACGAAAUGGUCAAAUGAAAGAGGUGGUGGUGGUGAUGGAGAAGGUGGUGGUGGUGGUGGUGGUGAUGGAGGAGGUGGUGGUGGUGAUGGAGGUGGAGGUGGUGGAGAUCUUAUCCUAGGUGGUGGUGGUGGUGGUGGAGAUCUUAUUCUUGGUGGUGGUGGUGGUGGAGAUCUUAUCCUAGGUGGUGGUGGUGNUGGAGGUGGAGGUGGUGGAGAUCUUAUCCUAGGUGGUGGUGGUGGUGGUGGAGAUCUUAUUCUUGGUGGUGGUGGUGGUGGAGAUCUUAUCCUAGGUGGUGGUGGUGGUGGAGAUCUUAUUCUUGGUGGUGGUGGUGGGGGGGAUCUUCUCCUAGGUGGUGGUGGUGGAGAUCUUCUCCUUGGUGGUGGAGAUCUUCUCUUACUUUCCUCUAGAGGUUCAUAUGAAGAAUAUGGUUUGGAUAUUUGAUGGUAUAUGUGAAAAGGAGGGAGGAAUAAUGUUGGUGAUUGUGGAAGUGUAGUGGU